rnacentral:rRNA from 1 species
GGCCAACCACUCGGUUAAAACGGGAGGCCAAUAUCCGCUCCCAGCCAACAAUCCAAAAGGAAAUGGUGGGGGAGCGACGCGAUGCGUGACGCCCAGGCAGACGUGCCCUCAGCCGAAUGGCUUCGGGCGCAACUUGCGUUCAAAAACUCGAUGGUUCACGGGAUUCUGCAAUUCACACC